AAGUAUAUAAUAAAAAUACAUAUAAACAUUUAACUUCUUUCUCUAUAAUAACAUGUGAGACUUAUAAUUUGCAAGUCAAUUGCAUGCGAGUCAAUUGAUAAUGAAAUAAGAAUAUAUGGCAUACAUACAGUAUAAUAAACUAAUAUUUAAACAAUUGUACAUACGUCUAAACAUUACAUAGUAUACGCGUUAAAUAUAAAAUAAUUUUAUUCAAUCAUUUCAAUACGAUUAAAUUUUGAACUCGGCGUUUUUGCCUUCAUCUAAUAUCAACAAAAACGGAUCAUUGACUUGACUGAUUAUGACUGUUAUGAAACCAGUUUUCUUUUACAGUUCGGCGAGUAAACAUUGAAGAUAUUUCUUUCGAAACGUCUAAGAUGAAAAUAUCAAUAAUUCCGCAAAUUAAAUUAAUUAAUUAAAUUAAGAUAAUUAAAUUAAUUUAAAGAGAUAUUAAAUAUAAUAUAAUAUAACUUCCUUUCAGCCUUGUCGAACGUUUAAUGUCGACAAGAACGAAAUUAGGUAGAGCGUGCGAGAUAUAUCAAUUUCCUUCCGUACUCCGAGAACUAAACGUUGAAAUACAAUUUUUCCAUACGGCUAUAUUUAAUAAUCUAAGACACCAUGCGAGUUACCAUGUCAGUUUCCUUUCUUACUCCGAGGACUAAACGUCAAAAUAGACUCUUUCCAUAUUCCUACAUUUAAUCAUCUUAUAGAUAAAAACUUCGUUGCAAUCGCGUGCGUAGCGAUGAAGUAAUCGAGUGUUUGUUUCGUUAAAAUAAAAAUAUCACGAAAUAAAAGCAUUGUUUGUUCGUUCGCGUUUUGCGAUUUAUAUAACAAAUAUUUUUGCUUCGAUUACGUACAGUGCAGUUAUUAUACUCAAAAAGCAAAGUCCUACUGGGAACUUCGUUUUAUUUGUUCGAAAAUUUGAUUAGAUUAUCUCGCGAACGCGGAUUCUAGAGUAGAGGCACCAUUAGCCAGCCCGUAGGUCUCCACAUACAGCAACUUCCACAUAGUGAGACCUGGAUCGUUAGUAUUUGCGAUAUAUUGAAAUCUAAUUGUAAAUUACGCAACACAAAUACUACCGGGCGAAUGGCUGCAUAUUUCAAUAUAUUUUCAAUAUCCAUUUAAUUUAAUUCUGAUUACAAACUUAUUUUAUAUCACUAAAUUUGUAAUUACUAAUUUUGUAAUUACAUAUAGUAUUACUAAUAAUACUUCAAUCUUAAUUAUUCUUAUAUACUCUUAUUUGUUCCUGUUUUAUGCUUUUCAAUUUAAAUACUAUAUUUUCUAUUGCAAUUAUUCUUCAUAUUCACAUAUUUAUAAAUUCAAAUUAUACUUCAACUAUUUUC